AACGAACGCUGGCGGCAUGCCUAACACAUGCAAGUCGAACGAGACCUUCGGGUCUAGUGGCGCACGGGUGCGUAACGCGUGGGAAUCUGCCCCUUGGUUCGGAAUAACAGUUAGAAAUGACUGCUAAUACCGGAUGAUGACGAAAGUCCAAAGAUUUAUCGCCGAGGGAUGAGCCCGCGUAGGAUUAGCUAGUUGGUGAGGUAAAGGCUCACCAAGGCGACGAUCCUUAGCUGGUCUGAGAGGAUGAUCAGCCACACUGGGACUGAGACACGGCCCAGACUCCUACGGGAGGCAGCAGUGGGGAAUAUUGGACAAUGGGCGAAAGCCUGAUCCAGCAAUGCCGCGUGAGUGAUGAAGGCCUUAGGUCGUAAGCUCUUUUACCAGGGAUGAUAAUGACAGUACCUGGAGAAUAAGACUCCGGCUAACUCCGUGCCAGCAGCCGCGGUAAU
rnacentral:rRNA from 1 species